GUAGUCCAUGCCGUAAACGUUGGGAACUAGAUGUGGGGACCAUUCCACGGUCUCCGUGUCGCAGCUAACGCAUUAAGUUCCCCGCCUGGGGAGUACGGCCGCAAGGCUAAAACUCAAAGGAAUUGACGGGGGCCCGCACAAGCGGCGGAGCAUGCGGAUUAAUUCGAUGCAACGCGAAGAACCUUACCAAGGCUUGACAUAUACCGGAAACGGCCAGAGAUGGUCGCCCCGCAAGGUCGGUAUACAGGUGGUGCAUGGUUGUCGUCAGCUCGUGUCGUGAGAUGUUGGGUUAAGUCCCGCAACGAGCGCAACCCUCGUUCUAUGUUGCCAGCACGUUAUGGUGGGAACUCAUAGGAGACUGCCAGUGAUAUACUGGA
rnacentral:rRNA from 1 species